CCUACGGGUGGCAGCAGUGGGGAAUAUUGCACAAUGGGGGAAACCCUGAUACAGCGACGCCGCGUGGGUGAAGAAGUACCUCGGCAUGUAAAGCUCUAUCAGCAGGGAAGAAAAUGACGGUACCUGAAUAAGAAGCCCCGGCUAACUACGUGCCAGCAGCCGCGGUAAUACGUAGGUGGCAAGCGUUAUCCGGAUUUACUGGGUGUAAAGGGAGUGUAGACGGGAGCACAAGUCUGGAGUGAAAUGUCGGGACUCAACCCCGGAAUUGCAUUGGAAACUGUGCAUCUAGAGUGCAGGAGAGGUAAGUGGAAUUCCGGGUGUAGCGGUGAAAUGCGUAGAUAUUAGGAGGAACACCAGUGGCGAAGGCGGAUUACUGGACUGUAACUGACGUUGAGGCGCGAAAGCGUGGGGAGCAAACAGGAUUAGAUACCCGGGUAGUC
rnacentral:rRNA from 1 species